UAAAUUUUCAAAGAACUUAUUGUGUUAAAAAGGGGAUAUUUUACCACAAGGAGCCGCAUCACAAAAGGAUGUUCGGGGUUUGCUAAUUUACGGAAAAAGUAAUCUCACUUCGUACCCCGAAAAUUUAACCACAUAUGUGAAAAUGUCACAGCUUCGAAACGAGCUAUCAUACAUAUCCAAGUUUAUGAUAUGGACUGAGCUACAGGAAAAAACGUUACCAUUACCGCC
rnacentral:lncRNA from 1 species